UACGAAGGGGGCUAGCGUUGCUCGGAAUGACUGGGCGUAAAGGGUGCGUAGGCGGGUAUGUAAGUCAGUGGUGAAAUCCCCGAGCUUAACUCGGGAACUGCCAUUGAUACUAUAUAUCUUGAAUAUUCUGGAGGUAUGCGGAAUAUGUCAUGUAGCGGUGAAAUGCUUAGAGAUGACAUAGAACACCUAUUGCGAAGGCAGCAUACUACGGAAAGAUUGACGCUGAGGCACGAAAGUGUGGGGAUCAAACAGG
rnacentral:rRNA from 1 species